GUCGUGGGCGUAGGAAAUUUGAGAGGAGCUGUCCUUAGUACGAGAGGACCGGGAUGGACAUACCUCUGGUGUACCAGUUGUCGUGCCAACGGCAUAGCUGGGUAGCUAUGUAUGGACGGGAUAAGUGCUGAAAGCAUCUAAGCAUGAAGCCCCCCUCAAGAUGAGAUUUCCCAACUUCGGUUAUAAGAUCCCUCGAAGAUGACGAGGUUAAUAGGUUCGAGGUGGAAGCGUGGUGACACGUGGAGCUGACGAAUACUAAUCGAUCGAAGACUUAAUCAA
rnacentral:rRNA from 2 species